rnacentral:rRNA from 1 species
AGUGAACGCUGGCGGUAGGCCUAACACAUGCAAGUCGAACGGCAGCACAGUAAGAGCUUGCUCUUACGGGUGGCGAGUGGCGGACGGGUGAGGAGUACAUCGGAAUCUACUUUUUCGGGGGGGAUAACGUAGGGAAACUUACGCUAAUACCGCAUACGACCUACGGGUGAAAGCAGGGGAUCUUCGGACCUUGCGCGAUUGAAUGAGCCGAUGUCGGAUUAGCUAGUUGGCGGGGUAAAGGCCCACCAAGGCGACGAUCCGUAGCUGGUGUGAGAGGAUGAUCAGCGACACGGGAAGUGAGACACGGUCCAGGAUCCUAAGGGAGGGAGCAGUGGGGAAUAUGGGACAAUGGGGGCAAGCCUGAUCCAGCCAUAGCGCGUGGGUGAAGAAGGCCUUCGGGUUGUAAAGCCCUUUUGUUGGGAAAGAAAAGCAGCAGGUUAAUACCCCGCUGUUCUGACGGUACCCAAAGAAUAAGCACCGGCUAACUUCGUG